rnacentral:rRNA from 1 species
UACAGAGGGUGCAAGCGUCGCCCGGAAUCAUUGGGCGUAAAGGGUAGGUAGGUGGUCUCAUUUGUCUGGGGUGAAAGCCCCGAGCUUAACUCAAGAAGUGCCCCGGAAACGGUGAGACCGGAGUCCCAGAGAGGCUAGCGGAAUUCCCGGUGUAGCGGUGAAAUGCGCAGAGAUCGGGAGGAACACCAGAGGCGAAGGCGGCUAGCCGGAUAGGCACUGACACCCAACCACGAAAGCGUGGGGAGCAAACAGG